UGCAUAACUCCUCAAAGAUACACAGAAUGUAUCGUAAAAUGCUACAAAGUACGAUACUUAAGCAAAAUAAAACAUGAAAUAAAGUAAAACAAUCACAGAAUAAUGUUACGAUUUUCGGUACAAGCUAUACUGAGCUGAUUAUUAUAAGGGAAAGUGUUGUCUGUCGUAUUCACUUGGAUACGGUUGAACCAUGUAAACAAUACUCUUUGUGUGUAAAAUUUGGGAUAUUUUCUGUGUUUGAAGAGACGGCAGUUCAGAUGUAGUCGUCCUGUGUGUCAGAAAGCUGGUGAUCAAAAUGGUUGAAGGCAAUACCCAAGAAAGUACAUUUACAAAUUUGUGAGGAGUAACCUAGCCUAUAUAACCUGAAGCUCACCCAAUAUGCAGUGUUCUGCUCUGUCAAUAACAACUCUGUAUGGCUGGUCUGACCUCAGUGGAAGUUGUUCGUUUAAAUGGUUUCGGGACAUUGAAAUAAAACAACACGAGAUGAGAUGCCAUACACAGGGGAUCCGACAGAAGACAGCAGACAGAAUUCGUCGAUCUAUUUGAAAUGUCAUUGUUUAUUUGAAAAAAGAUACCUAUCCACA